AGAGUUUGAUCCUGGCUCAGGAUGAACGCUAGCGGCAGGCCUAAUACAUGCAAGUCGAACGGUAAAUAUUUAGCAAUAAAUAUGAGAGUGACGUACGGGUGCGUAACACGUAUGCAACCUACCCUUUACAGGCGGAUAGCUCGGGGAAACUCGAAUUAACCCGCCGUAAUGUAAUUGGAUGGCAUCAUCUGGUUAUUAAAUCUACGGAGGUAAAGGAUGGGCAUGCGUCUGAUUAGUUAGUUGGCGGGGUAACGGCCCACCAAGACGAUGAUCAGUAGGGGAACUGAGAGGUUGAUCCCCCACACUGGCACUGAGAUACGGGCCAGACUCCUGCGGGAGGCAGCAGUAGGGAAUAUUGGUCAAUGGAUGGAAGUCUGAACCAGCCAUGCCGCGUGCAGGAAGAAGGCCUUCUGGGUUGUAAACUGCUUUUGCCAGGGGAUAAAAUGACCUUGCGAGGUUAAUUGAAGGUACCUGGUGAAUAAGCCACGGCUAACUACGUGCCAGCAGCCGCGGUAAUACGUAGGUGGCAAGCGUUGUCCGGAUUUAUUGGGUUUAAAGGGUGCGUAGGCGGCUUAUUAAGUCAGUGGUGAAAUACUCUAGCUCAACUAGAGGGGUGCCAUUGAUACUGAUGAGCUUGAGUACAGAUGAGGUAGGCGGAAUUGACGGUGUAGCGGUGAAAUGCUUAGAUAUCGUCAAGAACACCUAUAGCGAAGGCAGCUUACUAGGCUGUAACUGACGCUGAGGCACGAAAGUGUGGGGAUCAAACAGGAUUAGAUACCCUGGUAGUCCACACUGUAAACGUUGAUUACUCGCUGUGUGCGAUAUACAGUACGCGGCCAAGCGAAAGCGAUAAGUAAUCCACCUGGGGAGUACGCCGGCAACGGUGAAACUCAAAGGAAUUGACGGGGGUCCGCACAAGCGGUGGAGCAUGUGGUUUAAUUCAUGAUACGCGAGGAACCUUACCUGGACUAGAAUGCCCUUGACCGAUCCAGAGAUGGAUUUUUCCGCAAGGACAAGGAGCAAGGUGCUGCAUGGCCGUCGUCAGCUCGUGCCGUGAGGUGUUGGGUUAAGUCCCGCAACGAGCGCAACCCCUAUUUUUAGUUGCCAACAGGUUAAGCUGGGGACUCUAAAAAGACUGCCCGCGCAAGCGGAGAGGAAGGAGGGGACGACGUCAUGUCAUCAUGGCCCUUACGUCCAGGGCUACACACGUGCUACAAUGGCGUAUACAGAGUGUUGCAAACCAGCGAUGGUAAGCCAAUCACAAAAAGUACGUCUCAGUUCGGAUUGCAGGCUGCC
rnacentral:rRNA from 1 species